AAAUCGCAGUUGUCCUUGCAUUUGGAUUGAGACAACGUUACAACUUCCUUAUCCGAUAAGCCAUUUGGAGGGCAAGUCCUGGUGCCAGCAGCCGCGGUAAUUUCCAGCUUCCAAUAGCGUAUAUUAACGUUGUUGCAGUUAAAAAGCUCGUAGUUGAAGUGAGGGAGUGUGUGUUCAUGAGAGCUAGUCUCGAGUGUUCACAACCUCCCCCCUCCAAUCGGUGUAGUGGGGUAUUCAGUUAUUUCACUACUCCUUUGGUCGUUUACUGUGAGAAAAUUAGAGUGUUCAAAGCGGGCGUUUGUUUGAAUAGAUUAGCAUGGAAUAAUGAUUGAAGGCUUUCGUGUUCGAUUUGAUUGGUUUGUUCAUGGAAGCAAGGUUAAAAGGAACAGUUGGGGGUAUUCAUAUUCACUAGUUAGAGGUGAAAUUCUCGGAUUUAUGGAAGAUGAACAGGUGCGAAAGCAUUUACCAAGGAUGUUUUCAUUAAUCAAGAACGAAAGCUAGGGGAUCGAAGAGGAUUAGAUACCCCUUAAAACUCCCAAUAAAAAAAA
rnacentral:rRNA from 1 species